CAUGCAUCAAUCUAAUGUUGUGUGAAAUUUUUGAAAAUGAUAGAGGCAUUGUUUGUGAGAAAAACCACUUGACCAAAAAGCUUAAAUCAACUAACCUUGUGAGGAGUAAUCCUUAGUUAACCCCCUUUGAGCUUAUUUUAGGAUUCAUUUGAUUGAUCAUUGUAAAAUCAAUUGAAAAUUGUGGAAUAAAUGAAUCCUAAUUUCUUUCGUAUCAGUUGAAACCUCAAACCGAGUUGUUUGCAAAAUUUUGCCUUUUGCUUAUGUCUAAGUAGGGAGCAUUUUUGAAUAAAUUUGGUUUUGGAAUCUAAAGUUGGGGAGAGUAAAGUGAAAAGUUGAUUAGAAACUUGGAAAAGUGAGUUUCUAUGAAAGGGUAAGAAUAUGAAAAGAAACAAGAAAAAGAAAUCACCCUUGAAACCAUAGAGCAUAAAAAAAAAAAAUAAGAGAAAAAGAAAAGCAAAGUAAAUGCUCAUGGUUGUGUGGAGUUGAAAAGAAAAAGAAAAAGAAAAAGAUAGGGACCAAGGAAAAGGAAAUUGUGUAGAGUUGAAUCUUUGGGAAUGCUCCCUUAGGAUAGGCAAUUUGGUUGAAUUCCCUUAAUCUUAUCCUUUCUUGUAACCUAAGCCACAUUACAACCUUUGAAAGACCUCUUGAUUCUCAUUUUUCACAUAAUUUGGUACUUGUUGUGAUAACCGCAUGAUUUGAGUUGUUGUUGAUUUAACUGCUUGGAUGAGUGAAAG
rnacentral:lncRNA from 1 species